CCUACGGGGUGCAGCAGUGGGGAAUAUUGGACAAUGGGCGAAAGCCUGAUCCAGCCAUGCCGCGUGUGUGAAGAAGGCCUUCGGGUUGUAAAGCACUUUCAGUGGGGAAGAAAGCCUUGGGGCUAAUACCCUCGAGGAAGGACAUCACCCACAGAAGAAGCACCGGCUAACUCCGUGCCAGCAGCCGCGGUAAUACGGAGGGUGCGAGCGUUAAUCGGAAUUACUGGGCGUAAAGCGCGCGUAGGCGGUCUGAUAAGCCGGUUGUGAAAGCCCCGGGCUCAACCUGGGAACGGCAUCCGGAACUGUCAGGCUAGAGUGCAGGCGAGGAAGGUAGAAUUCCCGGUGUAGCGGUGAAAUGCGUAGAGAUCGGGAGGAAUACCAGUGGCGAAGGCGGCCUUCUGGACUGACACUGACGCUGAGGUGCGAAAGCGUGGGUAGCAAACAGGAUUAGAUACCCUAGUAGUC
rnacentral:rRNA from 1 species